rnacentral:rRNA from 1 species
UACGAAGGGGGCUAGCGUUGCUCGGAAUCACUGGGCGUAAAGCGCACGUAGGCGGCUUCUCAAGUCAGGGGUGAAAUCCUGGAGCUCAACUCCAGAACUGCCUUUGAUACUGAAGAUCUUGAGUUCGGGAGAGGUGAGUGGAACUGCGAGUGUAGAGGUGAAAUUCGUAGAUAUUCGCAAGAACACCAGUGGCGAAGGCGGCUCACUGGCCCGAUACUGACGCUGAGGCACGAAAGCGUGGGGAGCAAACAGG